GAAAACAAAAAAAUAAAAAAACAGGAAAACAAAAAAAAUUCAAAACCCAGGAAAACAAAAAAAUAAAAAAACAGGAAAACAAAAAAAUAAAAAAACAGGAAAUACAAAAAAAUAAAAAAACCAGGAAAACAAAAAAACAAGAAAACAACAAAAAAUUAAAAAACAGGAAAACAAAAAAAAUAAAAACCCAGGAAAACAAAAAAAAUAAAAACUCAGGAAAACAAAAAAACUAGGAAUGCAAAAAAGUAAAAAACCAGGAAAACAAAAAAAAAGGUAAAAACCCCAAACCUGAAGGAACAAUAUUGCCCUGUAACCACCCACGCGAAGAUGUAAGAGAUGCAUUCAUAUGCUUGACUGCAAAUUCGCUUGCGCAGUUUCCUGCUGGCAGUGUUGUUGGAAGUGCUUCCUUAUGGAGACAAUCUCAGAUUCUCUACAGAUAUCCAUCACUGAAAAUCUGGUGGAUACCUGACCGAAGAAGAGCUGGAUGUGUAGAUCACAGAGUACGGCUGGAUGUGCAAAUGUCAUGGCUGUUUGGAUUUCUUCUGACAGUUUGACAAAACUGCACAUCAUGCAAAGAGUCAGGAAAACAAAAAAAAUAAAAAAACCAGGAAAACAAAAAAACAGGGAAAAACCCAGGAAACCUGAAGGCACAAUAUUGACAUGUAACCACCCACGAGAAGAUGUAAGAGAUGCAUUCAGAUGCUUGACUGCAAAUUCGCUAGCGGAGCUUCCUGCUGGCAGUGGUGUUGGAAGUGCUUCCUUGCGGAGACAAUCUCAGAUUCUCUACAGAUAUCCAUCACUGAAAAUCUGGUGGACACCUGACCUGUAGAUCACAGAGUACGGCUGGAUGUGCAAAUGUCAUGGCUGUUUGGAUUUCUUCUGACAGCUCGACAAAACCUUACAUCAUGCAAAGAGUCAGGAAAAUAAAAAAUAAUAAAAAACCAGGAAAAAAAUAAGAGGCCCAUUGUCAGAUUUCAGUUGGCACCCUUUCGGUUGAAACCGAAGGGCCAAAGUAGUGUGUUGUUGGGUUUGUUUUUGUUUCUUCUUUUUUUCUCCUACUACUAGUUCCUGCUAGAGUCUUGUACUACCACUCAUGUUGAGCAGCCCCAUUCAGCUUUUGUUGUAUCUCAUGUUCUUUUAGCAAUCUGGGUUAGAGAGAGCCAAUAUCUGGACAGCUAUGUUGUGUCGAAGUUGGAUGUGACUCUGCAGAUAGUUGUUGUUUCAAGAAUAUUUGAGCGAUUAUUGAUUUUUGUGGCCUAA